CGACCCAAGGCGAGAGGCAGACGAAUUACGAGCACAAGUAGACCGUAUGUACUCCUCAUUGUAAAUUAUCUUGUUCAUUGACGGCGUAGGUCUGAAUUUCAUAGACGAUGGAAUCUUUCCAAAAACUUCUUUCAGACACUAAUUAACGGAAUUAACCGCCAGAGUCCACGUUCCUGAAGGACAGACAGAGAGGAACUAAACAGUACCAAUGAAGAGCAGUGACCAAUCUCAUAAAGAAUAAAAAAUUACGAGUAGAGCAAACACGGACCCCUGGACACACCAGAAGUGAGGCAAACAUCCCCUGCUGACCGGUCAGAUAUAUCCGCUGUGGGCCCUACACAUGUAUCUUCAUCAGACAGAGUAAGUUAGACGAUUUCUAUCAUCCGGGUGAUGCCUUCACGUAUCAGCGUAAUAACCGUGCCACUUCCUUGGAAAAGGCAAACAAAGAACCCGUUUCCUGUCUCUGGGACCUUUGUAACUGUUAUUGGGUGUUUGAGAGCAGUAGAGGUUGCGCUACGUGACGAGUGCAGGAAGAAUGCAGAAAUCCACCCCUCAACAAUUCAAACUUCAGAAAAGACUGAAAUGAACACGGACGUGUGAAAAACACCUUAACAGAUAAAAAUACUGAUUUUAAGGAAGUUAUCCCCUGAGCUUUUGGACACAAUUGUGCAGGUUGCUACAACUAAGUAUUUACUGGUUCAAUACUGAUCCCAUUGGUGCAAAUAUAUUACACAUCUAUUAUUUAACUCUAUCCAGUUGAAAAAGUUUUGUGUCAAUUCAAAUUUUGAAAAGUUUUGGCAGGGACUAUAUUUUGUGGCAGAAGGAUUGAAUAAUAAAAAAAAAUUGCAUGAUAUUACAAUUUCUGUUUUGAACCGAUGUUAUUAAUAUUUGCAUGAGAAAACCUAUUCAGAGUCUCUGAAGGAAGCAAAAUUACAUUAGUGUCUUUCCAUUCAAAAAUUGAUUUCUAUAAAAUGCUAUAUAUUCAAAAGAACCUGAACCUAAAUUUUGAUUUUAAUAAAUUCUUAACUCUACUUUUAAUUUUAUUAAUGAUUAUGGUUAAAGUUACAUACAAAACUACCAUGAUAACACAUUUUUACAACAAAACAAAGUUUGCAGAAUGAGAUCUAGAGCUACAUAAAUGCAGUGUAGCUGCAAUAAUGUAGCCCAAUCCAAUUUUUUUUUUAUUCUGACGUUUUCGGGAUAGGGCUACAAUUCCAUAGGAUCUCCGUAAUGGUGCAAAAUAAUUUUAUGAAUAACCGAUAAUAAACUCUGUGUAUUAGUCCCAAAUGUUGUUUAUACCAAAAGGAGUACCAACUUCGUGCUCGGGCAUGUCUAAUAAAGGUGUUUUUCAUUAAAUAUAAUGUACAGCAUGCAAAAUUCUUCGUCUGCUCCGCCAUGCUUGUUAUCGCGAGAUCUCGUAGGUGGAUCUAAUGAAAAGCCUAAACAUUGACAAUCAGCGCGAAAAUGUAGUUAUUCGAGCCACUUCGACAAAGGAAGGAAAAUCAUAUUGUUGCAGAAAGAAUUUACACUCUGCUGUUCGGUUUUUAACUUGAUAUUAAAUUCAAACCUUCUCAAUACCGACGAAAUAGCUUUCGCCUCCAUACUUGUCCAUUGAUGUAAAUACCACCUUAUAUGGCAUAUGCAAAUGACUUGACAACCGGAAGUUGAAACUUCAGUACAUCAAACAUGGCGCACAAAUAUGAAUCGAGAAACUGGGAUUUAUCGAAAUUGUUGAAAACGGUAGAAUAGAGCCUCACAAAUCUAAAGUUGUAGGUUGUAAAUUUAUAUAUUGACUAAGAAACAUAGAAUAUCAUUUUAUUUACGUAAAGAAAGUCAGGAAAUGUUUAGAAUGAGCGCAAAUGUUGCGGGAGUGAAUCACUCCCGCAUUUGCACCAUUACGGAGAUCCUAAGGAGUUGUAGCCCUCUCCCUAAAAAAAAAAAAAAAAAAAAAAAAAAAUCAGAGAGGG